GCCUGGGUGGCUCAGUCGGUUGAGUUCCUGACUUCGGCUCAGGUCAUGAUCUCACAGUUCAUGGGUUCGAGUCCCGUGUCGGGCU
rnacentral:tRNA from 1 species